rnacentral:tRNA from 1 species
CUAAUUAUAGUUGAAUAACAACAUGGUCUUGUCAAGACCCAAGUAUCUUAAAUGUUUAAUUAAA